rnacentral:rRNA from 1 species
UACGUAGGGGGCAAGCGUUGUCCGGAAUCAUUGGGCGUAAAGAGCGUGUAGGCGGCCCGAUAAGUCCGCUGUGAAAGUCCAGGGCUCAACCCUGGGAUGCCGGUGGAUACUGUCGGGCUCGAGUCCGGAAGAGGAGUGUGGAAUUCCUGGUGUAGCGGUGAAAUGCGCAGAUAUCGGGAGGAACACCGGUGGCGAAGGCGGUUCUCUGGGCCUGUACUGACGCUGAGGAGCGAAAGCGUGGGGAGCGAACAGG